UGGAGCCCUAAAGUUUCCUUUCUUCCUUUCAGUCCCAGCGGCAUGUCACAUUUCACUUACCAGAAACCUCCCAGGAAAGCAGCAGUGAUGGUGGACUGGGAGACCAUGAUGUGGGGAUUCCUAGCACAUCCCAUGCCCUGCACUUUGGCUAUCCUCAGGAGCAGUACUUUGAUCAUACUGCACCCAAUAACCGCACUGAAGGGGAUGGCAACUCUGAUCCUGAAUCCUGACACCUUGGAUCCUUCCAUCGUUUGGCUAUUGUGGACAUUGCUGCUAUGAACACUGGGGUGCAUGUGUCCCUUUUACACUGUUGGUAGGAAUGCAAGCUGGUACAGCUACUUUGGAGAACAGUAUAGAAGUUCCUCGAGAUGUUACCCUAUGACCCAGCAAUUUCACUACUAGGUAUUUACCUAAAUAAAAGAAUAUAGUGGGAAAAAUGGCAUUUUAAUCCUUUAAAAUGCAGUUCCCAGGUUGAUAAAAAUCUGCUGAUUAGAUAAUAAAAUUAAUAUCCAUACUUUUGCAUCUUUUGCCAAGAAUAUUAAAUAUCCUUUUUAAGUUAAUGAAAAACAAGCAAAUCGAAUCCAAUUAUUUCUUUUUCAGAAGACAAGUUUAAUUAAACAUCCUGUCUCAUUCCAUUUGAAACCUUUUUGAAUUUUUAAAUUUUACAGUUGCAAUCUCCUGACUUUAGCCUUUGGUAUGAGAGCCAAACCCAAUGUCCCAGAGCUUUCCCUAAUCAUAACCCUAACAAAUUAGGUGUACCAUUUUCAAUAGAUCCUUCUCUUUAAAGUUAGCUAAAUUGAUAAAAACAGAAACAGAAAUCUAAAUCAUAAACAGCAUUAUUGGUUGCUGCUGGGUUUCUGUGGAUACUCUAACAGGUAAGUCUUUGACUUCUCAAAGGAUUUUAUGGAGACACAGAGGAGUAUAGACCUAGUAGAGAGCAUAAUGUGACUUUGUACUUCUUGAAAUUUUGCAUAUCAUUAUAUAGUAUUAACUGAGAGGUCUUAGAGACUAUAUUAUCCUCUUGUGGCUAUUCUAAAUACAACAAUCUAUAUAUGGCCCUCUGUUCAUAUCUACUUCAUUACAAGUAGCAUAAGGUAAAACAUAAUUUGUGGGUAGUUAAAAAUUUUUUUUAACUUUCUUCUGUAAAACAUGGCUCUGAUUUUAUAAUUCAGACUGUUUUCUGGGACACAUGGAAAUAUUAUCAAUGGUCUACUAUAUUAAACUUCAGAGAUUUCUGAAUAGUUCAUACAUAUGAAGUCAGAAUGUCUGUGGUUUUUUUUUCCC
rnacentral:lncRNA from 1 species